rnacentral:rRNA from 1 species
GGAUCAGGUAGGGAUACCCGCUGAACUUAAGCAUAUCAAA